rnacentral:rRNA from 1 species
AUUGAACGCUAGCGGCAGGCCUAACACAUGCAAGUCGAACGAGUGGCGGACGGGUGAGUAAUGUCUGGGAAACUGCCUGAUGGAGGGGGAUAACUACUGGAAAGGGUAGCUAAUACCGCAUACCAUCAGAUGUGCCCAGAUGGGAUUAGCUAGUUGGUGGGGUAACGGCUCACCAAGGCCACGAUCCCUAGCUGGUCUGAGAGGAUGACCAGCCACACUGGAACUGAGACACGGUCCAGACUCCUACGGGAGGCAGCAGUGGGGAAUAUUGCACAAUGGGGGCAAGCCUGAUGCAGCCAUGCCGCGUGUAUGAAGAAGGCCUUCGGGUUGUAAAGUACUUUCAGCGGGGAGGCGGUACCCGCAGAAUAAGCACCGGCUAACUCCGUGCCAGCAGCCGCGGUAAUAC